rnacentral:rRNA from 1 species
GAUGAACGCUGGCGGCGUGCCUAAUACAUGCAAGUCGAGCGAACAGACGAGGAGCUUGCUCCUUUGACGUUAGCGGCGGACGGGUGAGUAACACGUAGGUAACCUACCUAUAAGACUGGGAUAACUUCGGGAAACCGGAGCUAAUACCGGAUAAUAUUUCGAACCGCAUGGUUCGAUAGUGAAAGAUGGCUUUGCUAUCACUUAUAGAUGGACCUGCGCCGUAUUAGCUAGUUGGUAAGGUAACGGCUUACCAAGGCAACGAUACGUAGCCGACCUGAGAGGGUGAUCGGCCACACUGGAACUGAGACACGGUCCAGACUCCUACGGGAGGCAGCAGUAGGGAAUCUUCCGCAAUGGGCGAAAGCCUGACGGAGCAACGCCGCGUGAGUGAUGAAGGUCUUCGGAUCGUAAAACUCUGUUAUUAGGGAAGAACAAACGUGUAAGUAACUGUGCACGUCUUGACGGUACCUAAUCAGAAAGCCACGGCUAUCUACGUG